rnacentral:lncRNA from 1 species
ACAAUAAUAAACUCUCUUCUUCUUCCCCUCCCUCUCUCUAUUUCAAUCUUUAUCUUUUCUUCUUUUCAAUUUUAAAAUGUGAGGAAUAAGCUUGAAUCAUUCAAAUCUUAUGUGUGUAUCACUCAAGUGAAGUGUGGAGUGAAGAUUAAUUGUUCUUCAAGCUGGUUUUGUUGCAACAAUAAGUUUAUACUUCUACUUUGUUGUACUUUAUGGUAAUAUACAAAUACACUAUUUAGUUAAUUUGGUAUAAGUACUAUUCUUUUUUCCAUGUGUAUGAUCUUUCUACGAGUAAAAAUCAAGUGUGUGUGUGUGUCACAUCACUUUGGGAUCAAGUGUAAAAUUUGCCUCAAUUUUUUUAGAUAUUAGGUCAACUUUGAGAAUGACGCCAUGGUACAAAUGUUGGUUCUUAUGUUUGUCACAGUCCAUACUGGAACCGUCUUCAUUGGACGGCAUAUACAAGUUAUAAGUGCUGUCUUUCUUAUGCCAAUGCCAGUAGGAGUAUAGUCAUAUCAUUACAAACAUUUUUAUUAUAAAAUAAGUAUUGGGGAAAAUUAGUUGUCUUAAUUUCAUAUAAUACUAACUUGAAAAAUUCAAAAGCAAAACAAGUCAAUAAAAUAAAAUAGUAGCAAUCGAAAUCGAAAGGCACCAGUUUCUGCAUAAACCGGGUGUUGAUGUUUACAUAUUUCAUUGUCAAAAGAUUAAAAUUAUAUAAAUGUCUGUGUAUGUGACGUGAAAACCUUUGACAAAAUAUUUUAUACGAAAUAAAGGGCCAUCAAAACAAGUGCUUAAAAAAAUGUGUUAAAUAUAACAUACAUGUAUGUAUAUGUAUUUGGUCGCAAAAAUUAAAACUCCAUGUAUAAAUAAAUCAAGCACCUAUGUGUACUUAAAUAAUAAAUAAAGAAGUAUCCUAUCAAUUUGUGAUGAUGCUAUUGCUAUUGUGCAAUCCGUCUAAGAAUGUUUAACAAUCCAAUGUUGUUGGUUAAGAAUUAUAAUUGGGGUUAACUUCUAUAAAAUUGAAUUGUAAGGUGAAUAUUUUUCUCAUUUAUAAAUAUAUGUUCAAAUCAUAUAUGUGACUUUUAA